GUCUCUUUGAUAGCUCAAUCCGGUAGAGCCUUCUUCGGCGCGUAACUAAAUGAUCCGGGUUCGAAUCCCGGUUUGGACU
rnacentral:tRNA from 1 species